AUAUAAGCUGGUGUAUUGACAUGUUUCAACUCUUCAAUAUCUCUCAAUUUACAAUUGUUGUGGUUUGACAACAUUACCACACUGGAAGUCUCACCUCAUUUACACACCUUAAUAUAUACAAUUGUGAGAACCUUGCAGAAAGAUGUUGAAGGGAACCGACCCAAGAUUGAUUAUAUCCCAUAAAUUAACAUGUACCUACAUUAUUGAAGAGUGAACUUAUACAGAAUGUCAUUUCAGUUUGCUGUAAAACGUGAUAAUGGUUGUGCUUGGACAUCUCCACCAGUGGAUUCAAUAUGUCAUUAACUUUGAGACCUUGAAUAAAUGUUGCAGACAACUUUUGUCGUAUAAUGGGGAUGAGAUUUGCAUGCAAAUGGCAAGGACUCAGAAGCUUGAGUUGAAUUCUCCAUCACUGGGGCCUCAAAAUGUUACCAUUCUGGAAAUUCUUAAAAUACCGUUCUUGUUUAGCAACUUUAUCAGAUUGGAUAAACAUCCAAAGAUCUCUUAAUGAGCUACAAAAUGUUGUCUGCCUUGAAUUUGAAUCACCGUGCUCCUCAGUUCUUCAAUGUUUCCAGAAUUGAUAUUUGACCGAUUUCACCUUGUUUAAGAAACUUGAGGUUAUUCAUUGGCCCAAAGGUUUCUUAUAUGCCGUUGCAAAUAAGGAUGAUGGUGAGGAUGGGCUGAAUAUUGCCCAUGCCUUGGAAAAAAGUUAUUGAGGGUUGGUGCAAAGGCUUACAGCACCUAUGGAGCUCUGAGUUCAUUCUUGCCCUCUAGUACAUCACUACCAGAAGAGAUGCAUUCCCUUAGCACCCUACAGAGACUAAUACAGAAAGCCACUCCAGCAGAACACCAACAAUUUGAGUGAGUUGCACAUCUUACCAAACAAACUAGUUACCUGCCUUCACUUGAGUUUCUUAAGAUCUGGGAUUAGAAUGCUUUGGAGCACACAAACAAUAAUGGUAAUAUCUCUCCCAAAUGAGGUGCUUCAACAUGUUAUAACCCUCCAAACUCUCUCAAUUGACAACUGUUCUGCUUUGGCAAUGCUACUAUCAAUUCACUCAUAGAGCUUCAAGUUCAUUCUUUCUCUGAAUUGAUGUCACUGCAGGAUGAGAUGCUUUCCUUUCCAGAAACUCAAAAUCUACACUUAUCUAUGUCUAUUGGAAACAUGCCAGAAGGAACUUGUGACCCAAUAUCGCUUAUGUCUCAGAAAUUUAUAUUUUUGUGAAAAUUCUACCAAUACAUAAAGUCAUUUCAGGAAAACUAAACCACUUCAGUGUUUAAUAUGAAAGUGGGUAGGGUUGAUCAAUUUCACAAUAUAUGGAUGGUUGCUUAUAUAAAUGAAGUUCAUUUAUAUCUCAGUUAAUGAGAUAAAGGAAAGAUGUUGAUUUUAUGUUGAAGAUCGCCGAAGAGUUGCUUAUAUAGUGAAGUUCAUUUAUAUUCCAAUAUUAACGAGAGAAGGGAAGAUGUUGAUUUUUAUGUUGAAGAUCAUGGAAGAGAGAAAUAAACCACUUCAUUGCUUGAUUUGAAAGUGGUUAUGGUUGAUAGUUUUCACAAUAUAUGGAUGGAGAAAUAAACCACUUCAGUGCUUGAUAUGAAGGUGGAUAUGGUUGAUCGUUUUCACAACAUAUGGAUGGUUGUUUAUAUAAAUGAUUUCAUGUAUAUCCCAAAGUUAAUGAGAUAUGGGAAAGAUGCUGAUUUUUAUGUUGAAGAUGGCUAAAGAGUGUUGCCUAUAUGAGAGUGAUUUCUCAUAAUGAAGAGUGAAG